UCACACAAAAAAUAAAUAUAUAUUAUAUGCAGAAGAAUCUGGAUUCAUCGCUGGCAGCAACCUACUUUCUUAUUUCUUAUUUCUUAUUUUAAGAGUAAUGGCUAGGCGUGUUUAGCGCUCCUACUUAUUCUACUCAAACAGCCUUUGAAAGCUUCAAAGUCGUCUCUUUUAGACCAAAAAGUAAUAAACUUUAUUAUCAAAAUAUGUCAGAGAUUUUAAGUAAAACUUGCAUUCGAAAUUUGAGAGAAAACUUGUACAUUACAGAUCUUUAACCAAUCACGUUACGUCAAGAAACAUGAUUUGUUAGAGGUAUGAAAUUUGUGCAAUAUAUUUCCCAGCAGUCGACCCGUGGAACCAGUCAACAAGAGAGACGUGUAAAUUAUUUAUUUAUUUUCGGGAGACUCAGUUCUAAUUCAUAUAUUACUUUCUUCUUGUUGAUCUAUUUCAUAUCAUUUCAUCUUUUCUGUGCUCUUAGAUUGGAUCUCAGGCUCAUCAGGCUACCAGCUCAUGCGAGGAACCACAAGUAUGUAGAAUUUUCUUGUUAAUUUCUUUUUGUUCACGAAGGCGUUGAUCUAUUUCAUCUUUUCUGUGUUCAUCAUAAAUCCUAUACUAGCUCAUGCGAGGAACCACAAGUAUCUGUAUGGAGGUAGACUUGUUGAUUUGGGCAACGUAUCCAAAAUUAUUUUUAUUAAGGAAGUAGAGUGUAUUUUGGGGAAUUUAAAACUGCAAAGAGAAACAUGCAAUGGCUUUGGCUAGGUGCUGGAGCGGCAGUUGUGUUGGCCACUGAUGGACUUGCCACAUAAGCAGCAGGUUUGAAAAGACUUGCCCAUGUACGUUCCAUUGAAGUAGCAGCUGUCUGUGCCGUUAACAGCUGUGCCGAUAAAGGACUAGGAUCAGCUUGCAGAGCUACUGGCUUGGCACAUGCUGCUGAUUCACCAGUAUCUGGUUCUUGUUGUGCCGAUGAUAAUGGGCCUUGUUGUGCUGAUGAAGUAUUGGCACGUGUCGAUUUGUUUCUUGACCUCUUGUUGGCCAUUAAUCUGAGGUAAAGAUACGUCGUAUCACAUUAGUACUAAAUAUAUAAUAAUUUAAUAAGUAAACUAAAGAAAAACAUGCAAACAUGUUCACCAAUUGGUUUGCUUGUAAACAUGCAAACAUGCAGACAUGUUAAACCUGUCAAACAAAACAAGUGGUGUGGUUGAAAAUUAAACUCUUCCAUAAGAGUAAAUCAAAAUCUUCUAGUAGCUGUUUCUACCAAAUUUACAUCUUUAUUAAGUUCUGUUUAGGC